AUGGAGUACUUGAUUCUCAUGAUGCUUGCACUAAGCUAUACGUCUCAGUACUGCACCAGCUCUAGCUUAUGCCCCUCAACCUACGAUCUUGGUCAGACUGGCGCUGGUGCCUUUCAAUUCCCGGUGUUCCACGAGAAGCACCCAUGCAUACAAGCAUCAGUACAUAUAGCAAAUGUACAGAAAACAUGGUAUUCCUUUGAGGAUGACAGAAUCCAUAAAGAUCGGUUCCUCAUGGCCAUUGGUCUGGGCACUCCGGCCUUUGUGAAUCUCGUCACCAUCGACACCGGCUCAACACUUUCCUGGGUUCAGUGCCGACCUUGUCCGAUAAGAUGCCAUAAUCAAGAUGAAGAGGCCGGACGGAUAUUUGACCCCCUUCAGUCCUCAACUUACCAAAGCGUUGGCUGCUCAACUGAAGAUUGUGGUUAUGUGCAUGAAACACUUGGUAUUCCCUUUGGCUGCAACGAGGAGCAAGAUAGCUGCCUUUACAGCUUGAGAUAUGCAUCAGAAGAGUACACGGCCGGAAGCUUGGUCAAGGACAAGCUCACUUUAGGAAACAACUUCAGCAUUGAUGAUUUCAUGUUUGGCUGCAGUGGAGAUGACAGGUACAAUGCAGCUGAUGCAGGCAUUAUUGGAUUUGGGGGUGCGACUUACUCCUUCUUUCGUCAGGUAGUUCGCCAUACCAACUACACCGCGUUCUCUCACUGCUUUCCUGGUAAUCAUAGAAACGGAGGGUUUCUAUCCAUCGGGCCGUAUGAUCGGUACAGUUUACAGUUCAUUCCGUUGGUCGAGUACGGCUCGCACGGAGAUAACCCGGUGUAUGCUAUUCAGCAGCUGGACAUGAUGGUCGACGGGAUACGGCUUGAAGUCGACCCGUCAAUCUACGCAACUCGAAUGACGAUACUGGAUUCUGGCACGAUCGACACGUUCAUUCUGUCCCCAGUGUUUCGUGCGUUUGACAAGACCAUCACAGCGGCAAUGCUAGCUAAGGGAUAUGCCCGGGAAACAGCUGGAAGGAAUAAAAUUUGUUUCACAUCCACUAGUGAUUCAGUGAACUGGCGAGACAUGCCAACGGUGGAGAUGAAAUUUGUAAGGUCUAUCUUGAAGCUCCCGUCAGAGAAUGUGUUCUAUCGAGUGUCAGCAGAUAAAAUUUGCUCCACAUUUCAGCCAGAUGUUGCUGGACUGACAGGGGUUCCGAUUCUGGGGAACAGGGCAACAAGAUCAUUCAGGGUCGUGUAUGAUAUCCAAGACAGCAAGUUUGGGUUUCAAGCUGGUGCUUGUUGA
rnacentral:rRNA from 1 species